GCCACAUGGCAAUGGCGGACAUACGAACCGUGUCAGGUCCGGAAGGAAGCAGCACUAAGUAUCGUUCCGUCAUGUGUCAUGUGAUUACA
rnacentral:SRP_RNA from 1 species